UAAAGAAGACAUUUAGUAACGUUUGCUGGCUUAAAGGGCAUUUAAAAUGUUCCUAAUAUUGUUUUGGGAGUCCCCAACAACAGUUUUACAUGCAUGCAAUGACAAAUUAUAUGAUAAUGCAUGCAUUACAUCCUUUCGUUCAAAAACUAAUUUAAUUCUACCGGAAAUAAUUUCGGUCUCCAAGAUACAGAAUAUAUAAUUCUGUCAUGUGACAAAUAAACUAAAGACUCUUAACGGAAUAGGGAUUCAGGAGGUGAACUAAUCAUUUCUGUUUCCUGUACAAAUGAUUAGUGCAACUUCGGAGUUUUUUCAAUCUUGAACCAGAGCUAUAUGACGAAAUGAUGUUGCGCAUGCGUGGUCACAAAAAAGAAAAGAAAGAAUCACUCUCUGAGACCGCUCGUCGGACCAGAAGACGACGUUGAGUGGAAUAGCUGCACAACAAUUUAAAUAUCCAUUCCAUAGAUUGAGAAUUCACCAUUUAGUUGAAGCAGCUUAUUCAAGGUGACAUGUCAUGAGAUGGGUGUGUAAAAAGGCCGUCAGCUUGCUUACCCAGAGCUGGAGGUGAAAAGUUAGGAAGGAAAAAAAAAAAAGACUACAAAUGUAAAGGUUACCCCCAAAGGCAUGAAAAGGGCCAAGAAGACUUUACUUCCAUUUGGAGUAAACUACUUGCCACCAUUUCCAUUUGGAGAAACUGAGGUCAAGGAUAAGUUCAGGAGGAUAACCACUUCACCUGGAGCAAACUGUUUUGGGAAAACUGGACUUCUAUACUCCUAGCCAUAUUUGAGACGAAGGGUGGGGUUGCAGGCACAAAAAUAAGAAGCGUGCUGGAUUCACUUAGUCAACAACACGAAGGUAGGCAAGAUGCUAUUAUCCGCUGUCUCAUUAUCUUUCUGGGAGAAUCAUCUGAGGAGCUCAUCAAAGACUACCAGGAUGUCAGCAAAGACAUAAUCAAAGAUGGCUUCGCUGAACAUGUGAUGAAGAUCAUUGUACUUUGCAGCACUGCAGCAGAAGGCUCCACCACAGGCGAUGUGAUCAUUGUCAUUGAGGGAACUGAGGUGCUGGUUGGAUGUAAAAAAUCUCACAAAUGCGUUUCUGGGUUUAAUUUACUCCUUUAACUUCAACUAUUCCUCAAAGCUGAGAAGCACAUUUUAAGUGUUUCAAAAGAUCUUUCUUGAGCUGGUGUUCUAAAAUUUUCUCCAAAGGUUCACUCUUUGCACACUAAGCUACUAAUGUAAGUCUGUUAGUUGUGGACACUCAAUAUUUGCACUUUUAAACUUUGUAUUUGUUCCUUUGUGUGUAGAUGUAAAGGCAGAUAUAUCCAGAUAUAGGUUCUCUGAACAAAGAUGUAAAAGUGAUGUGGACAGAUGGUUGUUUGGGUGUUGUUUUAUUCUACUCUUUCUCUUAUCCUUUGACCAAAAUAUUUAAAGAUACAUUUAUUACUGUUUUUUACACAGUUUUAAAAAAUGAAUUAAAAAUAUUUGUAUGUAAAAUGUUGUCUGUCAAUUCAUGUUAUUUGCGUUUGUUCAGAUAUUAUUAAACACAGUAUAAUUAUUAAUACUAAACAAAUGAAUACAACUAAUGUUAAAAAUAUUGUUAAAAGUUAAGUUAAUAUUACUUUGGCAUUUCAAAAAGAUAAAUAUGACUUGUUAGUAAAAAAUACAUUGAAUUGCUAGUACAUUUAGCUGUCUUCAUGGCUUGAGUAAAGUGUACAAACUAAGAGUCAGUAAAAUUUACUUGAAGCAGAGUAUUAAAAAGUUACAUUUACUUGAGAAUUUCUGCGUGGAAAUUGUUUCCUAGGUUUUUUCUAGUAAACCCCACUCCAAAUUUGUGUGUGUGUGUUUGUGUGUGAGAGAGAGAGUGUGUGUGUGAGAGAGAGAUUGUGUGUGUGUGUGAGAGAGAGAGUGUGUGUCACAAAUCAUAAAUAGUUUCUUCAACUUAUUAAAAUAUCUUACUUUACUGCAACUAUCUGUUUCUGAUUCUUUAUCAUAUUUAUAGUGUGUGAUUUAUAAAAUAACUUAUAUCCUACAUCACAUAUUUUGAUUUUGGACGUCUGGUCACUUUAUAUCUUAUAUCAGAAUAUUAUAUUACUGCCUACUAUGAAUAUUAAAAUACGCCGAACCAUGUGUCCUGUAUCAUAGCUACAUGAAUGACCUUUGCAGCAAAAAAACUCUGCGUGAAAAUCAGUGAGGUAUGAUUCAUUAAAUGCGCUGACAGAUCAUUGCACCUGCCAUAGGCUACAGAUUACACUGGAUCGGGUGACCGGUCUAAGAUGGCGGCGCCGCGGCUCGUCCGCGCCAGUAGGCAGAAGCGGUCGAUAGGGCGUCUAUCUAUAUGAUGUCUAUGGCGUCUACUCUGCCGGUUACAUUAGCUUCCUCGAUUUAUACAGGCGAGGUUUGCUUCGACUAGUAAGCUACCCCGGUUACGAAGGCAACAGCUUUGACAUUUCAAAGUAAAAAUGUUAAUGAUUUAUGGCAUGCAAACUAAAAUAAGUUUGACAAUAUUUUCAGAGAUCGUGCAUUGGUAUUCCAUUAACAAAUGAGCCCUGACAAACAGCUUAUUUCAGUUUAAAUAAUUAGGGUUAUACUGCAUUGAAGGGUGAGGGUCAAAAUCCCUUGUCUCUUCAUAUAUAUAUAUAUAUAUAUAUAUAUAUAUAUAUAUAUAUAUCCUUUUAUAUCAAUAUCUAUCUGUAUUCUGUUGCUUAACUUCUUUAAUAAAGUGAUGAAUUAACUAUAUGCAUGAUCACAUAAUCAAUUCUAUUUUCUUAUGCAUAACUGAAAUAUACUUUGAAUCAUAUGUGUGUUGAAUGCUAACUAGUCUCUUUUAGGAACAUUCCAGAGUCUUUCUCUCUGUCCUGCACGUAGGCUGAAGG